AAUAAGCAUAUCAAUUAUUCAAUUAAAAAAAUCAGAAAAAAGAAAACUCUGCUCAUAUGAUGUCAAUGCUUGCAUUCCAUCUUUUGAAAAUAAUGGCAUUUUGCACCUCAGUCUAACAGCAUAAUAAAACCAUUCAUGUAAAAGAGCAAAAGAAAAAGUAUUAAAUGUAACAUAGGAUAUAUGUCAUUUGAAAGCCUAAACUCAGCAUAAUAGUUGACA
rnacentral:misc_RNA from 1 species